rnacentral:rRNA from 1 species
GGCUAAUGCUCCAUAGUGGAUAUGUCCUGGAAUGGUAUAUCCUCGAAAGAUCCGUCGCCUUAGGAUGGGACUGCGUCCGAUUAGGUUGUUGGCGGGGUAACGGCCCACCAAGCCAUUGAUCGGUACGGGUUGUGGGAGCAAGAUCCCGGAGAUGGAUUCUGAGACAUGAAUCCAGGCCCUACGGGGCGCAGCAGGCGCGCAAACUUUACAAUGCGAGCAAUCGUGAUAAGGAAACCCUGAGUGCCUGUCGAUGCAGGCUGUUCAUAUAUCUAAAUCAUAUGUGAAGAAAGGGCAGCCCAAGACCGGUGCCAGCCGCCGCCCUAAUACCGGCUGCUCGAGUGAUGGCCACUAAUACUGGGUUUUAAGCGUCCGUAGCUUGACUGUUACCUCUCUUGGGAUAUCUUCACGCUCAACGUGAAGGCGUCUAAGAGAUACCGGCAGUCUUGGAACUGGGAGAGGUAAACCGUACUUCGGCCCUAGGAGUGAAAUCUUGUAAUCCUCGAGGGACGACCUAUGGCGAAGGCAGUUUACCAGAACAGCUUCGACAGUGAGGGACGAAAGCUGGGGGAGCAAACGGGAUUAGAUACCCCGGUAGUCCCAGCCGUAAACAAUGUGCGUUAGGUGUGUCGGUAACCACGUGUUACUGAUGCGCCGAAGAGAAAUCGUGAAACGCACCACCUGGGAAGUACGGUCGCAAGGCUGAAACUUAAAGGAAUUGGCGGGGGAGCACCACAACAGGUGGAGCCUGCGGUUUAAUUGGAUUCAACGCCGGACAUCUCACCGGAUAAGACAGCUGAAUGAUUGUCAAUCUGAAGGUUUUACAUGACUAGCUGAGAGGAGGUGCAUGGCCGUCGUCAGUUCGUACUGUGAAGCAUCCUGUUAAGUCAGGCAACGAGCGAGACCCACGCCGACAAUUGCCAGCAGCAUCUCCGGAUGGCUGGGGACAUUGU